rnacentral:rRNA from 1 species
CAGUAGCCACGGGAAUACAGAGGAUGCAAGCGUUAUCCGGAAUGAUUGGGCGUAAAGCGUCCGUAGGUGGCUUUUCAAGUCCGCCGUCAAAUCCCAGGGCUCAACCUGGGAACUGCAUUUGUGACUGUAGAGCUGGAGUGCGGCAGAGGGGGAUGGAAUUCCGCGUGUAGCAGUGAAAUGCGUAGAUAUGCGGAGGAACACCGAUGGCGAAGGCAAUCCCCUGGGCCUGCACUGACGCUCAUGCACGGAAGCGUGGGGAGCAAACAGGAUUAGAGACCCGCGUAGUCCCUGUCUCUUAUAA